rnacentral:rRNA from 1 species
AUUGAACGCUGGCGGCAUGCCUUACACAUGCAAGUCGAACGGUAACGCGGGGGCAACCCUGGCGACGAGUGGCGAACGGGUGAGUAAUACAUCGGAACGUACCCAGUAGUGGGGGAUAGCUCGGCGAAAGCCGGAUUAAUACCGCAUACGACCUAUGGGUGAAAGCGGGGGAUCGCAAGACCUCGCGCUAUUGGAGCGGCCGAUGUCGGAUUAGCUAGUUGGUGAGGUAAAGGCUCACCAAGGCUACGAUCCGUAGCUGGUCUGAGAGGACGACCAGCCACACUGGGACUGAGACACGGCCCAGACUCCUACGGGAGGCAGCAGUGGGGAAUUUUGGACAAUGGGCGCAAGCCUGAUCCAGCCAUGCCGCGUGUGUGAAGAAGGCCU